AUUAUAAUCACGGUGCCUAUACCACGUGACUUUUUAAGAUCUGUGUGGGGAGUAAAAUAUCAACAAAAGCGCGACGAAGGUAUGGCUCAAUGCUCCGAAUGCGGAAAAAUGUCGAAGACCAGAGCUGGAUUAUUGCGCCACAUUAGGGGACACGCUAACUCUGGAAACUAUAACUGCUGUGGGAAAGCAUUUCAGGAUGCCUACAAUCUUAGAAGGCUUCAACGAACAAAGGACCCCAAUGUCACGUGUGUGUACAGUGCGGCAGGAGCUUUGCGGACAAGUACCUACUCGUGGCUAGAGAGAAAAGUGCAAAAAAGAGGGGUUGGUGAAAUGUUACCAGUGUGGGUUGGCAGUUAGGAGUGAGAAUGACCUCAGAGAGCACGUCAAUACCCACAUGCAUGACAAGUGUUACAGUAGUGAGGAGUGUUUCAAAACGUACAAAUGCAGAACAAACCUUUCUCGAUACGUGAGGACUUCACAUAAAUUCGUGAAUACUGAUUAAAAAACAUAAUAGUUUACAGUUUGUCUGUGUAACUUCAUUAUCGUUUUACGUUAUUUUAUUCGUUGUUUUACUUUUACUUUACUUUUCAAAAUGAUUCUAAAGUUAUCCGAAUUUGAUUAAUUUUUAGGUUUCGUUUAGAUCGUUUGUGUGUUUGAAAUCAUUCUCAAAUAAUUGUGCAAUAAUUUGGAUUUACGUUAUUCAUUUAUAUAUCGCAUCUGUGAUUUGUAUUAUCGAAUCUGUGAUUCUUUUUUUAAUUAUAUCUUGAUUAAAGUUUUGCGAUGUUUUUUCGUUGGUUUCAAUUAUAAAUACCGCAGUCACGAGCUAGUUCGAUAAUCAUAAGCAGCCAGGGUUUCUAAUACUAGGGAUUUUCACGAUUGCUUUACAUAAUUAACUGUCUGCUUAUAAUUACUCUA